ensembl:misc_RNA 7SK 7SK RNA
GCUUUCUGGCUGUGAUAUGUGUCAUUCCAUGGAUCAGCAGAGGUCAUUUGGUUGAUCUGGAUGGAUAAGUUCCUGUAGCCUUUCUCUCUCGUUGCUCCAUGUGUAUCUCUCUUGAAUCUGACUAAUUGGUCAAACAGGACCUUCCUUGACAGAGAAGGAUCAUUCUUCAGUCAGGUGCAUAGUAGUAGCUGCAUACCCUUGCUAGACCUACCAAAUUAGAUCAUAUCACACCUGUUCGCAGAGUUCCCUGGUGGCUAUC